GACGAACGCUGGCGGCGUGCUUAACACAUGCAAGUCGAACGAUGAAGCUGGAGCUUGCUCCGGUGGAUUAGUGGCGAACGGGUGAGUAACACGUGAGCAAUCUGCCCUUGACUCUGGGAUAACUGCGGGAAACUGUAGCUAAUACCGGAUACUUUCCUUGGUGGGCAUCCACUGGGGAAGAAAGAAUUUCGGUCAAGGAUGAGCUCGCGGCCUAUCAGCUAGUUGGUGAGGUAAUGGCUCACCAAGGCGACGACGGGUAGCCGGCCUGAGAGGGUGACCGGCCACACUGGAACUGAGACACGGUCCAGACUCCUACGGGAGGCAGCAGUGGGGAAUAUUGCACAAUGGGCGAAAGCCUGAUGCAGCAACGCCGCGUGAGGGACGAAGGCCUUCGGGUUGUAAACCUCUUUUAGCAGGGAAGAAGCGAAAGUGACGGUACCUGCAGAAAAGGCACCGGCUAACUACGUGCCAGCCGCCGCAGUAA
rnacentral:rRNA from 1 species